rnacentral:rRNA from 1 species
AGUGGCGGACGGGUGAGUAACGCGUGAGAAUCUGCCUUGGGGUCGGGGACAACCACUGGAAACGGUGGCUAAUACCGGAUAAGCCGAUUGGUGAAAGAUUUAUUGCCCGAAGAGGAGCUCGCGUCUGAUUAGCUAGUUGGUGAGGUAAGAGCUCACCAAGGCAGCGAUCAGUAGCUGGUCUGAGAGGACGAUCAGCCACACUGGGACUGAGACACGGCCCAGACUCCUACGGGAGGCAGCAGUGGGGAAUUUUCCGCAAUGGGCGAAAGCCUGACGGAGCAAGACCGCGUGAGGGAGGAAGGCUCUUGGGUUGUAAACCUCUUUUCUCAGGGAAGAAGCUCUGACGGUACCUGAGGAAUCAGCCUCGGCUAACUCCGUGCCAGCAGCCGCGGUAAUACGGAGGAGGCAAGCGUUAUCCGGAAUUAUUGGGCGUAAAGCGUCUGGCAGGUGGCGAUUCAAGUCUGCUGUCAAAGCACGGGGCUUAACUCCGUAAAGGCAGUGGAAACUGAAUAGCUAGAGUGCCGUAGGGGUAGAGGGAAUUCCCGGUGUAGCGGUGAAAUGCGUAGAGAUCGGGAAGAACAUCGGUGGCGAAAGCGCUCUACUGGACGGCAACUGACACUCAGGGACGAAAGCUAGGGGAGCGAAUGGGAUUAGAUACCCC